rnacentral:lncRNA from 1 species
CAUUCCCCAGUCCUAAAGGAAUUUAGUGGUGAUGAUGCUUGUUUUCGUUGAGAUUAGGUAAUUAAUAUCUAGAGACUCUAUCUUCUCAUAUCUUUACCCCUGCUCUCUCUUCUAGGUUUGCCUCUAGUGGUCAUCUUUCUACUUCUCUAAUCCUCCCAUCCAAGGAUUUAUCUCUAUCUUUCCAGGAAUCUUUCAUCCUCAUCCUUGAUCUUCAAUGGAUCAAAUCAAAUUGAGCUGAAGCUAGCUCAAUAG